UACAGAGGGUGCAAGCGUUAAUCGGAAUUACUGGGCGUAAAGUGUGCGCAGGCGGCUCUGCAAGUCGAGUGUGAAAUCCCCGAGCUUAACUUGGGAAUUGCGCUCGAAACUAUGGAGCUGGAGUGUGGCAGAGGAAGGUGGAAUUCCCGGUGUAGCGGUGAAAUGCGCAGAUAUCAGGAGGAACACCGGUGGCGAAGGCGGUUCUCUGGGCAUGACCUGACGCUGAGGAGCGAAAGUGUGGGGAGCGAACAGG
rnacentral:rRNA from 1 species